rnacentral:tRNA from 2 species
AAAUAAGAAGCAAUUUAUGCAUUUAAUUUCGACUUAAAAGAUAGAGAACACAUACUCCUUAUUUA